GGGCCAAGAUUCCGAGCCUGGGCUAAGGAUGGGAGGCGGUCCGCUGGCACCGGGUUGGCGGGAACCUGAUCCGGAGAAGGAACGUGCGUGAGAGCGAGCGCAGGCGACUGACAGAGGAACCGACAGCAGACGGAGGGAGAGUUCUCCCUAGGACCAGACCGUUCAGCUCCCUGCCCACCAGACUGUGAGCUCCUCCAGGCCCAUCUUCCUGCAUGAAACGAGCCUGUGCGCACAAAGUCUGCCAAAGCACGGAUCCCGGAGCCUGGUGCCCCACAGAUGCUCUAACACGUUGACCUCUGUCGUCCUGUGAGUGAUGAUGGCACGAGUAACACGGGGUGCACACAGAGAGCGGUGUAGCUGCUGUGCUAGGGUCAGGCCCUUUGUUGGAAACAACACAUCGGAAAGAGUGUCUAGAGCACAUCUCUCAGGAGGCGUGACUGCUGAAUCCACUUUCUCCCCACACACAACGUCCAGUGAUGUGCACCCAGCAAGCGCCCGUGGGAUCCUUCUGAACGGAAGAAAUUCUGCUCUCUGUCAGCCUGUGCUGUUAGGUGUCCCCAGGAAACCCACGCGUCUUCUGCGGACAGACCUGGCUCGAGAACAGGUACGUUUAUUGGAUUCCGAACUUGUGGUCGCAUCAGGGAGCGCGGCAGCUCACCUGACCCUGCCAGGCUUGUCUCCCAGCCGGAGGGUCGAAGGAAGGGCUUUUCCUCCUGAAGGUCAAAGGUCUAAAUUCAGACAGUCAUUUGGGGUGUGUUUAGCAAGGGUAACGUGGCAUUCCACGUUUAUUGACCCUUUACCAGGUAUCAGGCAGUAUUCUCCAUGUGUCUCUCUAUCCCCUGAUCUAAUCCCCUCUCACAGACCCCUCGUUUUGCAAGGUUUCCGUGCUCAUUGCCAAGGCGAGAAAGUGGAAUACGGAGAGGUUGGGGGACCCGCUCUGAGUCACACAGGCCAUCAGAGGAGGAGGGACACCCAGACGUAUGCAUCCAGGACUCAGAGCCCACACACUUGA
rnacentral:lncRNA from 1 species